AUUGAACGCUGGCGGCAGGCCUUACACAUGCAAGUCGAACGGAGUGGCGAACGGGUGAGUAAUGUAUCGGAACGUGCCCAGUAGCGGGGGAUAACUACGCGAAAGCGUAGCUAAUACCGCAUACUAUUUGAGCGGCCGAUAUCGGAUUAGCUAGUUGGUGGGGUAACGGCUCACCAAGGCGACGAUCCGUAGCUGGUUUGAGAGGACGACCAGCCACACUGGGACUGAGACACGGCCCAGACUCCUACGGGAGGCAGCAGUGGGGAAUUUUGGACAAUGGGGGAAACCCUGAUCCAGCCAUCCCGCGUGUAUGAAGAAGGCCUUCGGGUUGUAAAGUACUUUCAGUCGGGAGGCGUUACCGACAGAAGAAGCACCGGCUAACUCCGUGCCAGCAGCCGCGGUAAUAC
rnacentral:rRNA from 1 species